rnacentral:rRNA from 1 species
UACGGGGGGGGCAAGCGUUGUUCGGAAUUACUGGGCGUAAAGGGCGCGUAGGCGGUCUGCUAAGUUGGAUGUGAAAACUCUGGGCUUAACCCAGAGCCUGCAUUCAAUACUGACAGGCUAGAGUUCUGGAGGGGAUAGCGGAAUUCCUGGUGUAGCGGUGAAAUGCGUAGAUAUCAGGAGGAACACCGGUGGCGAAGGCGGCUAUCUGGACAGAAACUGACGCUGAGGCGCGAAAGCUAGGGGAGCAAACAGG